rnacentral:rRNA from 1 species
CAUUCACGGAGAGUUUGAUCCUGGCUCAGGACGAACGCUGGCGGCGUGCUUAACACAUGCAAGUCGAACGAUGAAGCCCUUCGGGGUGGAUUAGUGGCGAACGGGUGAGUAACACGUGGGCAAUCUGCCCUUCACUCUGGGACAAGCCCUGGAAACGGGGUCUAAUACCGGAUACGACCUGCCG